CCUACGGGCGGCAGCAGUGGGGAAUAUUGGGCAAUGGAGGAAACUCUGACCCAGCAACGCCGCGUGAAUGAUGAAGGUCUUUGGAUUGUAAAGUCCUUUUCUAAGGGAAGAAGAUAGUGACGGUACCUUAGGAAUAAGCCUCGGCUAACUACGUGCCAGCAGCCGCGGUAAUACGUAGGAGGCGAGCGUGAUUCGGCAUGACUGGGCGUAAAGGGUGCGUAGGUGGUUUGGUAAGUUAGUAGGGUAACUCCAAGGCUCAACCUUGGAACUACUACUAAAACUGUUGGACUAGAGUGCAGGAGGGGGAACCGGAAUUCCUGGUGUAGCAGUGGAAUGCGUAGAUAUUAGGAGGAACACCAGUGGCGAAGGCGGGUUGCUGGACUGUAACUGACGCUGAGGCACGAAGGCGAGGGGAGCGAACGGGAUUAGAUACCCGUGUAGUC
rnacentral:rRNA from 1 species